AUGUUGUUUAAUUCGAUGAUACGCGAAGAACCUUACCAGGUCUUGACAUCCCCUGCAAAGCUAUGGAGACAUAGUGGAGGUUAUCAGGGAGACAGGUGGUGCAUGGUUGUCGUCAGCUCGUGUCGUGAGAUGUUGGGUUAAGUCCCGCAACGAGCGCAACCCUUAUUGCUAGUUACCAUCAUUGAGUUGGGGACUCUAGCGAGACUGCCAGUGAUAAACUGGAGGAAGGUGGGGAUGACGUCAAAUCAUCAUGCCCCUUAUGACCUGGGCUACAAACGUGAUACAAUGGCUGAAACAAAGGGCAGCGAAGCAGUGAUGUGGAGCGAAACCCAAAAAAGCAGUCUCAGUUCGGAUUGAAGUCUGCAACUCGACUUCAUGAAGUCGGAAUCGCUAGUAAUCGCGGAUCAGAACGCCGCGGUGAAUACGUUCUCGGGGUUU
rnacentral:rRNA from 1 species